CCCCUGAUGGUCUAGUGGCUACUCUCUCUUGGAUUCAGUGCUCUCACUGCUGCUGCCCGGGUUUGAUUCCUGGUCAUGGAA